rnacentral:sRNA from 1 species
GUCUAAAACAGAUGAUAAAAUUAAUUUUCCUUUGUCUGGUAAUUUUUUAAAAGGAUUUUUUAAAGAAAGAAAACUUUAAGUCAUUUUAUGUGUUUUGUGGGUAAAAAAAUCCAGACAUUUAAAAAACACAAUUACACAAGAUGUUUUUAAAGCAAUGUUUUAUUCACAUUAAACAUAUCGGAAUAAGUUUUUGGAAAAAGUCAAGUGCUUACUAUCAUGUGAUGAAAUGGCUUCUUAUUUAAAAAAUCUUGUGUAAAGCUGCAAUUUUUUUUUAAUUGCUGUUUUUUUUGUGGUGUGUUACACUUUGGUGUUUGUUUCUUUUUUGGCCCUAGCACUUGUUUUGCACCAUUGAUUCCCUUCCUCUCUGUUAAAAAACCUAAAUGAUCUAAAGAAGGUGAUCCCCAUAAAACUUGAGACACAACUGUAUUUACUGAUUUUAUUAUUAUCUACAUGGGGAUAUUUUUAUGCACAUUGUUGUCUAAGAUUAUUGAUUUUUUCCUUGUAUCUAUUUGAUAUAUAUACUUUCCUCUGGUAUUGUUUCUCCGAUGUAUGACCAAUGUGUUCAAUUAAGGCUUUGGAUAAAAAAAAGUGAAAGUCGAAGUAUUGUUUUAAACGAGUCAUGAAACGCCAAAAAAUGAUGCUUUAUGAUAAAUCCUUGCCAGCUUAAAUCAGUUGUUGCCACAUUUAUUUCAUUACUAUUGUGAAGAGGGAUAUCACCCAAUUUACAUUAUAGUCAAAAUAUGAAUAUUGAGUUAUUCUACUUUGCAAUGCUGCAGUAAAAUUAGAAGUAAAAUACAAAUCUGUUGCGUUCCAUAUUUUAAUAUUUGCCUGAGAAACUAAUAGUUUUUUUUCCUAACAAGGUUAUUUUUUCAGUUUUAUGGGUUUUUAAAUGUUACUGUCCAUUGAAUUGCAAGAAUCAAUUUUUUUGUCAAAAAUCAAUUCAUAAUCCACUAUUUUAUCUUUCAAUCUUCAAUUUUACGCAGAUGAGUGUCUUGGAAAAGAGGAAAGACAAAACAUUUUAGCUAUAAGUUUGAAGAAAGAAAACGUUUCUUGUACUUUCCACAUAGAAACCACUGUUUUAAUCUUUGUGUUAUACAUUUUAAUAAUGUGUGAAAUAAUAUGGUUGUAUUUUUUUCAGGAAGAUGCAAAUUUUGCACCAUUAUGAUAUUAAGAAACUUGUUUUAAAAACGUUUCUAUCUUUUUGUGACUUAUGAUACAUCUCAUAGAAUAUCAUAUUUGUAUUAUUUACAAAAAUGAAAACGGUGUGGGUUUUUGUGUGGUUUUCUAUUUUUGUUUAAUCUUUUGAUGCAAAAUUAUGGAACCUUUUGUUAGAAAGCUUUGUCAUUUUUCUACGCUACGACUCGUUACUAAAAAUUGUAUUAUAGUGCAGUUAUGGCAGGCAGCUUACAAUGGACAGAGUUUGAUUUUCUGAAUCUGUAGGUAACAGUUUUUUUCUGUGCUUUUUUCCCCAUUUUUUUGUUUGCUCACUGCACUUUUGUUUUGAGGCCAGAUUAUUCCAAAAAAAUGAAAGAAAAAAAUAAUAAAUUUAUUU